CCCUUAGAUGUCCGGGGCUGCACGCGCGCUACACUGAAGGAAUCAGCGUGCUAAAACCAUUGUCGAAAGGCAUUGGUAAACCCAUUAAAAUCCUACGUGAUUGGGAUCGGGAAUUGCAAUUAUUUCCCUUGAACGAGGAAUUCCCAGUAAGUGUGGGUCAUAAGCUCGCGUUGAUUACGUCCCUGCCCUUUGUACACACCGCCCGUCGCUGCCCGGGACUGAGCUGUUUCGAGAAAAGCGGGGACUGCUGCUGUCGGGGCUUUCGGGCCUUGGCUUCGGUGGAAACCGCUUUAAUCGCAGUGGCUUGAACCGGGCAAAAGUCGUANCA
rnacentral:rRNA from 1 species